AAAAAUUUACAAAGCAAAAAGGAUACACGAUUUUUAAAUAUUAUUUUUGGUGAUACUCCGCCAUCGCAGUUGUAAAGUUCGACGAGUACGAACUCUUUUUUUUUUUUUUUUGACGAGUAAUAACUUAUAACUAAGCAAAGAGUGUUAUAGUGUGAAUAUGUUUUGGCUUUGUGGAGAUUUUGAACUCAACCACUAGUAGACUAGUAGUAACUUGUUCGUGUCAAUAAAACUGAAGCAUGCUAAAGAAAAAAAGAAAAAAAAAAAACAAAAAAACUGAAGCAUGCUUCUUCUUUGAAUGGUCAAUAAGUCAAAAUAACUCACAAACAUGCGAGGAGGGCGCUCGAGUCUUGACUUAUCCUACCACACAGAGAUUAGAUGCUGACUCAGCGGCUGUCGACUAAUUGGACACGCUUCUUCGAUUCUCCUCCCAC
rnacentral:lncRNA from 1 species